GGUGUGACUGCGUACCUUUUGUAUAAUGGGUCAGCGACUUAUAUUCUGUAGCAAGGUUAACCGUAUAGGGGAGCCGCAGGGAAACCGAGUCUUAACUGGGCGUUAAGUUGCAGGGUAUAGACCCGAAACCCGGUGAUCUAGCCAUGGGCAGGUUGAAGGUUGGGUAACACUAACUGGAGGACCGAACCGACUAAUGUUGAAAAAUUAGCGGAUGACUUGUGGCUGGGGGUGAAAGGCCAAUCAAACCGGGAGAUAGCUGGUUCUCCCCGAAAGCUAUUUAGGUAGCGCCUCGUGAACUCAUCUUCGGGGGUAGAGCACUGUUUCGGCUAGGGGGUCAUCCCGACUUACCAACCCGAUGCAAACUACGAAUACCGAAGAAUGUUAUCACGGGAGACACACGGCGGGUGCUAACGUCCGUCGUGAAGAGGGAAACAACCCAGACCGCCAGCUAAGGUCCCAAAGUCAUGGUUAAGUGGGAAACGAUGUGGGAAGGCACAGACAGCCAGGAUGUUGGCUUAGAAGCAGCCAUCAUUUAAAGAAAGCGUAAUAGCUCACUGGUCGAGUCGGCCUGCGCGGAAGAUGUAACGGGGCUAAACCAUGCACCGAAGCUGCGGCAGCGACACUAUGUGUUGUUGGGUAGGGGAGCGUUCUGUAAGCCUGCGAAGGUGACCUGUGAGGGUUGCUGGAGGUAUCAGAAGUGCGAAUGCUGACAUAAGUAACGAUAAAGCGGGUGAAAAGCCCGCUCGCCGGAAGACCAAGGGUUCCUGUCCAACGUUAAUCGGGGCAGGGUGAGUCGACCCCUAAGGCGAGGCCGAAAGGCGUAGUCGAUGGGAAACAGGUUAAUAUUCCUGUACUUGGUGUUACUGCGAAGGGGGGACGGAGAAGGCUAUGUUAGCCGGGCGACGGUUGUCCCGGUUUAAGCAUGUAGGCUGGUUAUCCAGGCAAAUCCGGAUAAUCAAGGCUGAGGUGUGAUGACGAGGCACUACGGUGCUGAAGUAACAAAUGCCCUGCUUCCAGGAAAAGCCUCUAAGCAUCAGGUAACACGAAAUCGUACCCCAAACCGACACAGGUGGUCAGGUAGAGAAUACCAAGGCGCUUGAGAGAACUCGGGUGAAGGAACUAGGCAAAAUGGUGCCGUAACUUCGGGAGAAGGCACGCUGGUGUGUAGGUGAAGCCCCUGCGGGUGGAGCUGAGACCAGUCGAAGAUACCAGCUGGCUGCAACUGUUUAUUAAAAACACAGCACUGUGCAAACACGAAAGU
rnacentral:rRNA from 1 species